CAGAAUUCAGGGCUAUAUUCAUAUUUUACCAUAAUACCUUAGUCUCCUUCUUGAUAACGCUUGUUAACAAGACAAGUGUUGUUACCACUUGUUAGUGGCAAUAUAUUCCAUAGGAGGGUCACUCCAGUUAGUUACCAAAAAUCAACAGCAAAAAAAGAACAAGAAAAAAAAAAGUAGCUAAGUGAUUCUAUUAGAUUCACAGCAGACUGAAUUUGAAGCAAGGAAUCCAUUGUUUCCUCUUUAAGCCUGGCUAUUUUUUAAAAAAUUUGGGGAAAAAAGAGUUUAUUUACAAGGAUUGGGAAGACCUGAAGUUAAAGACAGUUCCAUUAAUGGAAUGUUAGAACAGCUCAUCGAGAAACUCUGGCUGUUAAUUUGUAAGUUAUUACUAACAGUGCUUCUAGUUAAAUUAAGGCUCUGGAGCAUGACUUCCAUUUUUUUUUUUUCCUAUUUUAGCCAUUGACUUCACUGAGUGAUUUAACUUUUCUCUGUCUUAGAACAUACAGUUCCAAGGUGCCUAUAACAGGAGGAAAGCCUUGGGGUUAAAGUCUUUCCAAAUACCGUUUUCUAAGUGAGUAGGAUAUUCACCUACAGGAUGUGAUGUCCAUGUUUAUAUCCAUUCUCUGCAUGAUUCAGGGAGGUCUCAAUGUGGACACGAGAACAUUGAAAAUGUCUUCUUCUUGGGCUAUGAACAAAAAGUGUGACAGAUGGUAUGUGUUUCUUGUUUGUUAUGUUACAGUCUAUUCCAGAGGCAUGGCAGAGCAUUAG
rnacentral:lncRNA from 1 species